CCUACGGGGGGCUGCAGUGGGGAAUAUUGGACAAUGGGGGGAACCCUGAUCCAGCCAUGCCGCGUGUGUGAAGAAGGCCCUCGGGUUGUAAAGCACUUUCAGUGAGGAAGAACGCCUGGUGGUUAAUACCCAUCAGGAAAGACAUCACUCACAGAAGAAGCACCGGCUAACUCCGUGCCAGCAGCCGCGGUAAUACGGAGGGUGUGAGCGUUAAUCGGAAUUACUGGGCGUAAAGCGCGCGUAGGUGGCUUGAUAAGCCGGUUGUGAAAGCCCCGGGCUCAACCUGGGAACGGCAUCCGGAACUGUCAAGCUAGAGUGCAGGAGAGGAAGGUAGAAUUCCCGGUGUAGCGGUGAAAUGCGUAGAGAUCGGGAGGAAUACCAGUGGCGAAGGCGGCCUUCUGGACUGACACUGACACUGAGGUGCGAAAGCGUGGGUAGCAAACAGGAUUAGAUACCCCAGUAGUC
rnacentral:rRNA from 1 species